AACGAACGCUGGCGGCAUGCCUAACACAUGCAAGUCGAACGAGACCUUCGGGUCUAGUGGCGCACGGGUGCGUAACGCGUGGGAACCUGCCCUUAGGUUCGGAAUAACUCCCCGAAAGGGGUGCUAAUACCGGAUAAUGUCUUCGGACCAAAGAUUUAUCGCCCUUGGAUGGGCCCGCGUUGGAUUAGCUAGUUGGUAGGGUAAAAGCCUACGAAGGCGACGAUCCAUAGCUGGUCUGAGAGGAUGAUCAGCCACACUGGGACUGAGACACGGCCCAGACUCCUACGGGAGGCAGCAGUGGGGAAUAUUGGACAAUGGGCGAAAGCCUGAUCCAGCAAUGCCGCGUGAGUGAUGAAGGCCUUAGGGUUGUAAAGCUCUUUUACCCGGGAUGAUAAUGACAGUACCGGGAGAAUAAGCUCCGGCUAACUCCGUG
rnacentral:rRNA from 1 species